rnacentral:rRNA from 1 species
CCUACGGGGUGCAGCAGUGAGGAAUAUUGGUCAAUGGACGAGAGUCUGAACCAGCCAAGUAGCGUGAAGGAUGACUGCCCUAUGGGUUGUAAACUUCUUUUAUAAAGGAAUAAAACGAGGCACGUGUGCCGUUUUGCAUGUACUUUAUGAAUAAGGAUGGGCUAACUCCGUGCCAGCAGCCGCGGUAAUACGGAGGAUCUGAGCGUUAUCCGGAUUUAUUGGGUUUAAAGGGAGCGUAGAGUGGUAGUUAAGUCAGUUGUGAAAGUUUGCGGCUCAACCGUAGAAGUGCAAUUGAUACUGUCAGUCUUGAGUACAGUUGAGGUAGGCGGAAUUCGUGGUGUAGCGGUGAAAUGCUUAGAUAUCACGAAGAAUCCCGAUUGCGAAGGCAGCUUACUAAACUGUGACUGACAUUGAUGCUCGAAAGUGUGGGUAUCAAACAGGAUUAGAUACCCCAGUAGUC